rnacentral:misc_RNA from 1 species
GAUGGAGAACGCAGCGAAAUGCGAUAAGUAGUGUGAAUUGCAGAAUUCAGUGAAUCAUCGAAUCUUUGAACGCACAUUGCGCCCCUUGGUAUUCCAUGGGGCAUGCCUGUUCGAGCGUCAUUUGUACCUUCAAGCUCUGCUUGGUGUUGGGUGUUUGUCUCGCCUCUGCGUGUAGACUCGCCUUAAAACAAUUGGCAGCCGGCGUAUUGAUUUCGGAGCGCAGUACAUCUCGCGCUUUGCACUCAUAACGACGACGUCCAAAAGUACAUUUUUACACUCUUGACCUCGGAUCAGGUAGGGAUACCCGCUGAACUUAAGCAUAUCAAUAAGCGGAGGA